rnacentral:rRNA from 1 species
AGCGAACGCUGGCGGCAGGCCUAACACAUGCAAGUCGAACGACCCUUUCGGGGUUAGUGGCGGACGGGUGAGUAACACGUGGGAACGUGCCUUUAGGUUCGGAAUAACUCAGGGAAACUUGUGCUAAUACCGAGUGUGCCCUUCGGGGGAAAGAUUUAUCGCAUUUAGGGCGGCCCGCGUCUGUCUAGCUAGUUGGUUGAGGUAAUGGCUCACCAAGGCGACGAUCAGUAGCUGGUCUGAGAGGAUGAUCAGCCACAUUGGGACUGAGACACGGCCCAAACUCCUACGGGAGGCAGCAGUGGGGAAUCUUGCGCAAUGGGCGAAAGCCUGACGCAGCCAUGCCGCGUGAAUGAUGAAGGUCUUAGGAUUGUAAAAUUCUUUCACCGGGGACGAUAAUGACGGUACCCGGAGAAGAAGCCCCGGCUAACUUCGUG